GGGGAGGUGGCCAUUUCACGGCAGGA
rnacentral:piRNA from 1 species